rnacentral:ncRNA from 1 species
UUUACCGUGAGGUAUGCAGUGAAGGAAGCCAACCGGCAAAAGUCUGUACUGACGGACAGGUAUUACAGGAUUAGCAUAUGCUGUAAGGCGCAUAUGAGGCAUGAUUGUUUGGGUAAGCAAGCACAUCAUUGUAAAGCCCAAAGAACACCAAAGGACAGUUAUGUAGAUGCGACAGGAAUAGACUGAAGGAUAAAGCU